GAAGUCGAACGAACUCUGGUAUUGAUUGGUGCUUGCAUCAUGAUUUACAUUUGAGUGAGUGGCGAACUGGUGAGUAACACGUGGGAAACCUGCCCAGAAGCGGGGGAUAACACCUGGAAACAGAUGCUAAUACCGCAUAACAACUUGGACCGCAUGGUCCGAGUUUGAAAGAUGGCUUCGGCUAUCACUUUUGGAUGGUCCCGCGGCGUAUUAGCUAGAUGGUGGGGUAACGGCUCACCAUGGCAAUGAUACGUAGCCGACCUGAGAGGGUAAUCGGCCACAUUGGGACUGAGACACGGCCCAAACUCCUACGGGAGGCAGCAGUAGGGAAUCUUCCACAAUGGACGAAAGUCUGAUGGAGCAACGCCGCGUGAGUGAAGAAGGGUUUCGGCUCGUAAAACUCUGUUGUUAAAGAAGAACAUAUCUGAGAGUAACUGUUCAGGUAUUGACGGUAUUUAACCAGAAAGCCACGGCUAACUACGUGCCAGCAGCCGCGGUAAUACGUAGGUGGCAAGCGUUGUCCGGAUUUAUUGGGCGUAAAGCGAGCGCAGGCGGUUUUUUAAGUCUGAUGUGAAAGCCUUCGGCUCAACCGAAGAAGUGCAUCGGAAACUGGGAAACUUGAGUGCAGAAGAGGACAGUGGAACUCCAUGUGUAGCGGUGAAAUGCGUAGAUAUAUGGAAGAACACCAGUGGCGAAGGCGGCUGUCUGGUCUGUAACUGACGCUGAGGCUCGAAAGUAUGGGUAGCAAACAGGAUUAGAUACCCUGGUAGUCCAUACCGUAAACGAUGAAUGCUAAGUGUUGGAGGGUUUCCGCCCUUCAGUGCUGCAGCUAACGCAUUAAGCAUUCCGCCUGGGGAGUACGGCCGCAAGGCUGAAACUCAAAGGAAUUGACGGGGGCCCGCACAAGCGGUGGAGCAUGUGGUUUAAUUCGAAGCUACGCGAAGAACCUUACCAGGUCUUGACAUACUAUGCAAAUCUAAGAGAUUAGACGUUCCCUUCGGGGACAUGGAUACAGGUGGUGCAUGGUUGUCGUCAGCUCGUGUCGUGAGAUGUUGGGUUAAGUCCCGCAACGAGCGCAACCCUUAUUAUCAGUUGCCAGCAUUAAGUUGGGCACUCUGGUGAGACUGCCGGUGACAAACCGGAGGAAGGUGGGGAUGACGUCAAAUCAUCAUGCCCCUUAUGACCUGGGCUACACACGUGCUACAAUGGAUGGUACAACGAGUUGCGAACUCGCGAGAGUAAGCUAAUCUCUUAAAGCCAUUCUCAGUUCGGAUUGUAGGCUGCAACUCGCCUACAUGAAGUCGGAAUCGCUAGUAAUCGCGGAUCAGCAUGCCGCGGUGAAUACGUUCCCGGGCCUUGUACACACCGCCCGUCACACCAUGAGAGUUUGUAACACCCAAAGUCGGUGGGGUAACCUUUUAGGAACCAG
rnacentral:rRNA from 1 species